rnacentral:piRNA from 1 species
UAUGACAUUCAGGGAGAAAGUGCCAUAA